rnacentral:snRNA from 1 species
GGAAGUGAGGGCGAUCUGGCUGCGACAUCUGUCACCCCAUUGAUCGCCAGGGUUGAUUUGGCUGAUCUGGCUGGCUAGGCGGGUGUCCCCUUCCUCCCUCACCACUCCAUGUGCGUCCCUCCCGAAGCUGCGCGCUCGGUGGAAGAGGAUGACGUCCCAGGUAUAGAAGGAGUGUACCGAGGUCUCCAGUCUUCGGUCCCGGGUAUACGAUAGCUGCGCUCCCCUGCUAGAACCUCCAUUGCCACCCAAACAAAUCAAUGGGAUUUUCCCUUUCUUGUUUAACAUGCAGUGUGAGGUUUAAAAGAAUUGAAACAAUUGUGAUGUCAUU